AUGAACGCUGGCGGCGUGCCUAAUACAUGCAAGUCGAGCGAACGGACGAGAAGCUUGCUUCUCUGAUGUUAGCGGCGGACGGGUGAGUAACACGUGGAUAACCUACCUAUAAGACUGGGAUAACUUCGGGAAACCGGAGCUAAUACCGGAUAAUAUUUUGAACCGCAUGGUUCAAAAGUGAAAGACGGUCUUGCUGUCACUUAUAGAUGGAUCCGCGCUGCAUUAGCUAGUUGGUAAGGUAACGGCUUACCAAGGCAACGAUGCAUAGCCGACCUGAGAGGGUGAUCGGCCACACUGGAACUGAGACACGGUCCAGACUCCUACGGGAGGCAGCAGUAGGGAAUCUUCCGCAAUAGGCGAAAGCCUGACGGAGCAACGCCGCGUGAGUGAUGAAGGUCUUCGGAUCGUAAAACUCUGUUAUUAGGGAAGAACAUAUGUGUAAGUAACUGUGCACAUCUUGACGGUACCUAAUCAGAAAGCCACGGCUAACUACGUG
rnacentral:rRNA from 1 species